CAAGAAAUGAAUAAUGUUGUUAUACUGUAAAAGUUCAAAUAUGACAAAUCAGGCGAGCACGCUGGGCAAUAAGGAUCACCUCUUAAAGAGAUAAGACUACUGGGUAAUUGAUCAUGUAAAAGAUACAUUGACAUUCUUGCAAUCCAGUCCAAAGUAGUAAAUCAGUUAACAGGACACGUGUAUUUUAUAAAUAAAACUAUGAUUUGUUAAAUAGUAAAUUGUUUUAUUAGGACGCCACACAGACAAAUACUGUUAGUGGCAGGAUUUUUUAAAUACAGUGUAAAUUUAAUUUUAAAAUUACAACUUUUUUUUAUUUCUUUUUUUCUACAUAAUAUACUGAAGUCACAAUUUAAUGAUAAAAAUAUGAC